rnacentral:rRNA from 1 species
UACGGGGGGGGCAAGCGUUGUUCGGAAUUACCGGGCGUAAAGGGCUCGUAGGUGGCCAACUAAGUCAGACGUGAAAUCCCUCAGCUUAACUGGGGAACUGCGUCUGAUACUGGAUGGCUUGAGUUUGGGAGAGGGAUGCGGAAUUCCAGGUGUAGCGGUGAAAUGCGUAGAUAUCUGGAGGAAUACCGGUGGCGAAGGCGGCAUCCUGGACCGAGAUUGACACUGAUGAGCGAAAGCUAGGGGAGCAAACGGG